AGAGUUUGAUUCUGGCUCAGAACGAACGCUUGCGGCGCGCCUAAUACAUGCAAGUCGAACGAGGUAGCAAUACCAAGUGGCGCACGGGUGAGUAACGCGUGGAUAAUCUGCCUAUCAGUGGGGAAUAACUAUCCGAAAGGAUAGCUAAUACCGCAUGAGGCCACAGUUUCUGCGGAAACAGGGGUUAAAGAUUUAUCGCUGAUAGAUGAGUCUGCGUGGGAUUAGCUAGUUGGUGAGGUAACGGCUCACCAAGGCAACGAUCUCUAACUGGUCUGAGAGGAUGACCAGUCACACUGGAACUGAGACACGGUCCAGACUCCUACGGGAGGCAGCAGUAGGGAAUAUUGCGCAAUGGGCGAAAGCCUGACGCAGCGACGCCGCGUGAGUGAUGAAGGCCUUAGGGUCGUAAAGCUCUGUUGAAUGGGAAGAAAAAGAUGACGGUACCAUUCGAGAAAGGAUCGGCUAACUUCGUGCCAGCAGCCGCGGUAAGACGAGGGAUCCUAGCGUUGUUCGGAAUCAUUGGGCGUAAAGCGUGUGUAGGUUGCCAUUCAAGUCAGUUGUGAAAGCCCCGGGCUCAACCCGGGAAGUGCUUCUGAUACUGUUUGGCUUGAGUACUGGAGAGGAUAGUAGAAUUCCUGGUGUAGUGGUGAAAUACGUAGAUAUCAGGAGGAAUACCGGUGGCGAAGGCGGCUAUCUGGCCAUGUACUGACACUGAGACACGAAAGCGUGGGGGCAAACAGGAUUAGAUACCCUGGUAGUCCACGCCGUAAACGAUGGAUACUUGGUGUUGGAGGUAUUGACCCCUUCAGUGCCGAAGCUAACGCGUUAAGUAUCCCGCCUGGGGAGUACGGUCGCAAGAUUAAAACUCAAAGAAAUUGACGGGGGCCCGCACAAGCGGUGGAGCAUGUGGUCUAAUUCGAUACUACGCGAAAAACCUUACCUGGGCUCGAAAUGUACAGGAAGAUAGCAGAGAUGUUAUCGCCUUCGGGUCUGUAUAUAGGUGCUGCAUGGCUGUCGUCAGCUCGUGUCGUGAGAUGUUGGGUUAAGUCCCGCAACGAGCGCAACCCCUGCCUUUAGUUGCCAGCAUUUAGUUGGGCACUCUAGAGGUACUGCCGACGUUAAGUCGGGGGAAGGUGGGGAUGACGUCAAGUCCUCAUGGCCCUUAUGUCCAGGGCUACACACGUGCUACAAUGGGCAGUACAGAGGGUCGCUUAGCAGUAAUGUAAAGCUAAUCCCUUAAAGCUGUUCUAAGUUCGGAUUGAGGUCUGCAACUCGACCUCAUGAAGGUGGAAUCGCUAGUAAUCGCGGAUCAGCAUGCCGCGGUGAAUACGUUCCCGGGCCUUGUACACACCGCCCGUCACACCAUGAAAGUCGGUUGUACCAGAAGUCGCUGCGCUAACCGUAAGGAGGCAAGCGCCCAAGGUAUGGCUGAUGAUUGGGGUGAAGUCGUAACAAGGUA
rnacentral:rRNA from 1 species